rnacentral:rRNA from 1 species
GACGAACGCUGGCGGCGUGCUUAACACAUGCAAGUCGAACGGAAAGGCCCUGCUUUUGUGGGGUGCUCGAGUGGCGAACGGGUGAGUAACACGUGAGUAACCUGCCCUUGACUUUGGGAUAACUUCAGGAAACUGGGGCUAAUACCGGAUAGGAGCUCCUGCUGCAUGGUGGGGGUUGGAAAGUUUCGGCGGUUGGGGAUGGACUCGCGGCUUAUCAGCUUGUUGGUGGGGUAGUGGCUUACCAAGGCUUUGACGGGUAGCCGACCUGAGAGGGUGACCGGCCACAUUGGGACUGAGAUACGGACCAGACUCCUACGGGAGGCAGCAGUGGGGAAUAUUGCACAAUGGGCGGAAGCCUGAUGCAGCAACGCCGCGUGCGGGAUGACGGCCUUCGGGUUGUAAACCGCUUUCGCCUGUGACGAAGCGUGAGUGACGGUAAUGGGUAAAGAAGCACCGGCUAACUACGUG